rnacentral:rRNA from 1 species
GAUGAACGCUGGCGGCGUGCCUAAUACAUGCAAGUCGAGCGAACAGACGAGGAGCUUGCUCCUCUGACGUUAGCGGCGGACGGGUGAGUAACACGUGGAUAACCUACCUAUAAGACCGGGAUAACUUCGGGAAACCGGAGCUAAUACCGGAUAAUAUAUUGAACCGCAUGGUUCAAUAGUGAAAGACGGUUUUGCUGUCACUUAUAGAUGGAUCCGCGCCGCAUUAGCUAGUUGGUAAGGUAACGGCUUACCAAGGCAACGAUGCGUAGCCGACCUGAGAGGGUGAUCGGCCACACUGGAACUGAGACACGGUCCAGACUCCUACGGGAGGCAGCAGUAGGGAAUCUUCCGCAAUGGGCGAAAGCCUGACGGGGCAACGCCGCGUGAGUGAUGAAGGUCUUCGGAUCGUAAAACUCUGUUAUUAGGGAAGAACAAAUGUGUAAGUAACUAUGCACGUCUUGACGGUACCUAAUCAGAAAGCCACGGCUAACUACGUG